GAUGAAAGCUAGCGGCAGGCCUAAUACAUGCAAGUCGAGGGGUAGAGAAGCGCUUGCUUUUCUUGAGACCGGCGCACGGGUGCGUAACGAGUAUGCAACCUACCUUUAUCAGGGGGAUAGCCUCUCGAAAGAGAGUUUACCACCGCAUAAAAACACAGUACGGCCUCGGACACUGUUCAAAUAUUUAUUGGAUAAUGAUGGGCCUGCGUGACAUUAGCUAGUUGGUGAGGUAAGGGCUCACCAAGGAGACGACGUCUAGGGAAUCCGAGAGAAGAACCCCCGACACUGGUAGUGAGGCACGGACCCGGCUCCUACGCGUGGCAGCCAUAAGGAAUAUUGGUCCAUGGGGGCAACCCUGAACCAGCCAUGCCGCGUGCAGGAAGACGGCCCUCCGAGUUGUAAACUUCUUUAAUACUGGAAUAUACUCCUUUACGUGUAAAGGGUUGAAUGUACUGUAAGAAUAAGGAUCGGCUAACUCCGUGCCAGCCGCCGCAGUAA
rnacentral:rRNA from 1 species